UAUAUUGAGAGUUUGAUCCUGGCUCAGGAUGAACGCUGGCGGCGUGGAUAAGGCAUGCAAGUCGAGUGGGUUUAGACCCACGGCAAACGGGUUCAGAUAACAUAGGAAUCUACCUUGAAGUCG
rnacentral:rRNA from 1 species